rnacentral:rRNA from 1 species
GAUGAACGCUGGCGGCGUGCCUAAUACAUGCAAGUCGAGCGAACGGACGAGAAGCUUGCUUCUCUGAUGUUAGCGGCGGACGGGUAAGUAACACGUGGAUAACCUACCUAUAAGACUGGGAUAACUUCGGGAAACCGGAGCUAAUACCGGAUAAUAUUUUGAACCGCGUGGUUCAAUAGUGAAAGACGGUCUUGCUGUCACUUAUAGAUGGAUCCGCGCUGCAUUAGCUAGUUGGUAAGGUAACGGCUUACCAAGGCAACGAUGCAUAGCCGACCUGAGAGGGUGAUCGGCCACACUGGAACUGAGACACGGUCCAGACUCCUACGGGAGGCAGCAGUAGGGAAUCUUCCGCAAUGGGCGAAAGCCUGACGGAGCAACGCCGCGUGAGUGAUGAAGGUCUUCGGAUCGUAAAACUCUGUUAUUAGGGAAGAACAUAUGUGUAAGUAACUGUGCACAUCUUGACGGUACCUAAUCAGAAAGCCACGGCUAACUACGUG